UACGAGGGGGGCAAAUGUUGUUCGGAAUCACUGGGCGUAAAGGGAGCGUAGGCGGGUGUUUAAGUUAGGUGUUUAAUCCUGGGGCCCAACCCCAGUCGUGCACCUAAAACUGGACAUCUUGAAUAGUGGAGAGGUCAGUGGAAUUGGGGGUGUAGCGGUGGAAUGCGUAGAGAUCCCCAAGAACACCGGUUGCGAAGGCGGCUGACUGGACACAUAUUGACGCUGAGGCUCGAAAGCAUGGGGAGCAAACAGG
rnacentral:rRNA from 1 species